rnacentral:lncRNA from 10 species
UAGAGAAUACGUUUUUAAUUGACUAAGAAUGAUCUUGUUCUCCUGCCCCUGUGAUUCUAAGCUUAUAUUGUAUCGGCAUUGACCACAUCUCCAUAACUUUGGAGGCUGGCAGAGAAUACCCCACUGGAUCCCCUUCCUUUUUAAAAACAGAUUUCUUUUGGAGGUGAUCUGGGACUCCUUCACAUAAACAGGAAGCACGAGAUCGCACCUCUGCACUCCAGCCUGGGCGACAGAGUGAGACUCCGUCUCAAAAAAAGAAAAAAAAGAACUGAUAAAUGAAAACUGCAAUUGGAUUCUCUUUCCACAAUUAAAUUUGCUAGCUUAGUAUCCUGGUUUUGCAACAUGGUGAUUAAUACAUUAAACCCAUUAAACCCUAAGUAACUCUUUACAUCUGUUUGCAUAUUUUUUUUAGAAGCGCACACAGAAUUAGUCUGAACCAAAGGUGUAAUUUAUUUGUCUGCAGUCUGAGUCACCGAGUUCCCUCAGGGUGUCUUUCAACUUGUUUUUUUUAAAUCUCUAUGGAGUAUUUUUUUUUUUCAAAACACAUGAUCUGUUUAGAAACAGGCUACCCAGCACAGAACCAAACCUGUUCUACUGUUUUCUAUUUUAGAAUUUGCUUACAUGACUUAAAAAAUUUUAAGGCUCUGUAUUUUACAUGUUUUCACAGCUCUGAAUUGAGAAAAGUAAUGCAAGCUUGUCUGACCCAUGGCCCACCGGCCACAUGCAGCCCAGAACAGCUUUGAAUGCAGUCCAACACAAACUCGUAAACUUUCUUAAAACACUACGAGAUGUUUUCGCAACUUUUUUUUUUUUUUAGUUCAUCAACUAUCAUUAGUGUUAGUGUAUUUUGUGUGUGGCCCAAGAUAAUUCUCCUUGUUCCAGUGUGACCCAGGGAAGCCAAAAGGUUGGACAUCCUUGAAGUAAUGAAAGUUGAUACCAUGGCUGCUUUAUGGCAGAAGUCAGAAAUUGCCUCCCUCCAUUGAUGUGCUCGUUAGUAUUGGAAAGGCAAAUCAAGAAGUUAGGAGAGGCUGCCUUCACACAGCCUUUCAAAUAUAUGAAGUGUUAUGGAAUUACAGCGUUAGAUAAUAUUUUACCUGAAGUUCCAAAAGAGUUUUCUUCCUAUUUA